AGAAACCAACAGGGAUUACCCUAGUAACGGCGAGUGAAGCGGUAACAGCUCAAAUUUGAAAUCUGGCCUUCACGGGUCCGAGUUGUAAUUUGUAGAGGAUGUUUCGGGCAAGGCUCUGGUUUAAAUUUCUUGGAACAGAAUGUCAUAGAGGGUGAGAGUCCCGUCUAGAACCGAUGGCCGCGUCCAUGUGAAACUCCUUCGACGAGUCGAGUUGUUUGGGAAUGCAGCUCAAAAUGGGUGGUAAAUUUCAUCUAAAGCUAAAUAUUGGCCAGAGACCGAUAGCGCACAAGUAGAGUGAUCGAAAGAUGAAAAGCACUUUGAAAAGAGAGUUAAACAGUAUGUGAAAUUGUUGAAAGGGAAGCGCUUGCAACCAGACUUGCGUGUGGCGGUUCCCCCGGUCUUCUGACCGGGCUACUCCGUCACAUUCGGGCCAGCAUCGGUUUGGGUGGUUGGUAAAAGGCCCCGAGAAUGUAUCUACCUCCGGGUCGACUUAUAGCUCGGGGCGUAAUGCGGCCUACCUGGACCGAGGAACGCGCUUUUGCUCGGAUGCUGGCGUAAUGGUUGUAAGCGGCCCGUCUUGAAACACGGACCAAGGAGUCUAACAUCUAUGCGAGUGUUAGGGUGUCAAACCCUUGCGCGUAAUGAAAGUGAACGGAGGUAAGAACCCUUAACGGGCGCAUUAUCGACCGAUCCUGAUGUCUUCGGAUGGAUUUGAGUAAGAGCAUAGCUGUUGGGACCCGAAAGAUGGUGAACUAUGCCUGAAUAGGGUGAAGCCAGAGGAAACUCUGGUGGAGGCUCGCAGCGGUUCUGACGUGCAAAUCGAUCGUCAAAUUUGGGUAUAGGGGCGAAAGA
rnacentral:rRNA from 1 species